UACCUACGGGGCGCAGCAGUGGGGAAUAUUGCACAAUGGGGGAAACCCUGAUGCAGCGACGCCGCGUGAGUGAAGAAGUAUCUCGGUACGUAAAGCUCUAUCAGCAGGGAAGAAAAAAAGUCUUUGGCUUUGGACGGUACCUGACUAAGAAGCCCCGGCUAACUACGUGCCAGCAGCCGCGGUAAUACGUAGGGGGCAAGCGUUAUCCGGAUUUAUUGGGUGUAAAGGGUGCGUAGACGGGAAUUUAAGUUAGUUGUGAAAUCCCUCGGCUUAACUGAGGAACUGCAACUAAAACUGGAUUUCUU
rnacentral:rRNA from 1 species